rfam:Papilio machaon contig35116, whole genome shotgun sequence.
GACCGUGUGGCUUAGCGGAUAAGGCGUCGGACUUCGGAUUUGAAGAUUACAGGUUCCAGUCCUAACGCGGUCA